rnacentral:rRNA from 1 species
AGAGUUUGAUCAUGGCUCAGGAUGAACGCUGGCGGCGUGCCUAACACAUGCAAGUCGAGCGAUUCUCCUCGGAGAAGAGCGGCGGACGGGUGAGUAACGCGUGGGUAACCUGCCCUGUACACACGGAUAACAUACCGAAAGGUAUGCUAAUACGAGAUAAUAUGCUUUUAUCGCAUGGUAGAAGUAUCAAAGCUCCGGCGGUACAGGAUGGACCCGCGUCUGAUUAGCUAGUUGGUAAGGUAACGGCUUACCAAGGCGACGAUCAGUAGCCGACCUGAGAGGGUGAUCGGCCACAUUGGAACUGAGACACGGUCCAAACUCCUACGGGAGGCAGCAGUGGGGAAUAUUGCACAAUGGGCGAAAGCCUGAUGCAGCAACGCCGCGUGAGCGAUGAAGGCCUUCGGGUCGUAAAGCUCUGUCCUCAAGGAAGAUAAUGACGGUACUUGAGGAGGAAGCCCUGGCUAACUACGUGCCAGCAGCCCGCGGUAAUACGUAGGGGGGCUAGCGUUAUCCGGGAAUUACUGGGGCGUAAAGGGUGCGUAGGUGGGUUUCUUAAGUUCAGAGGGUGAAAGGGCUACGGCUUCAAACCGUAGUUAAGCCCUUUGAAACUGGGGAAACUU